GGGUCAUUAGCUCAGCUGGGAGAGCACCUCCCUUACAAGGAGGGGGUCGGCGGUUCGAUCCCGUCAUCACCCACCA
rnacentral:tRNA from 3 species